rnacentral:rRNA from 1 species
AAAUUGAAGAGUUUGAUCAUGGCUCAGAUUGAACGCUGGCGGCAGGCCUAACACAUGCAAGUCGAGCGGAAACGAGUUAUCAAAACCUUCGGGGGACGAUAGCGGCGUCGAGCGGCGGACGGGUGAGUAAUGCCUAGGAA